UCCAGGUGGCCUAUCUCUGCUCUCACACACACUUCCUGUGUAAGGAAAGUGUGAUGCAACACGGAGACAGUACACACAGCAGCACAGCUCUGACAUCAGCCUCCCUCCCACCAGAUAGCCGAGAUGUUCUGAGAAUCGUGGCUGCUUCCUUCUCCACCAUCUUCGACAACAACAACAACAACAACAACAACAACAACAACAACAACAAAGUCUUCGAUGUACAGGAAGAAUCCUGACCCGGAAAAUGGCUCGUUAUUAAAACGAACUCCGAAUCCCUCAAAGAUGGUGACAGAUGCGACAGACAGAAGCCAAACACGAGACAUACAGUACAGUAUGAGUUCGAUUUCAACACCACGUCCGAAUACGGGUGUGUUAAUAAGCGGUGAUCGCUAUAAAGCACGCUUUAUAACACUGUUCAUUAAUAUCCUGUCUGCGUAACUGUAAAUUAAUAUUCAUGUAUUCAACAAAUAAUUGAUGGAUUAUAACGUAAUCUAUAAUAUACAUAAUGUUCAGAUCGGUUCAAUUCAUUUAUCUCUAUAAAUUUAGUACAGAAUAGAGUUCGUUUUUGUAUUCGAUUAUACGCUGAUAAUAUAAAAACAAACAAACAAACAAACAAACAAACAAACAAAUAAAAUUAGUAUUUUAUUAAGCAAGGCCGCUAACAUCGUGUGUGUGUGUGUGUGUGUGUGUGUGUGUGUGUGUGUUAUGUAUUUGCACUGCCAUGCCCUUAGUGAACUAAUGAAGUAGAUGACAAAAACUGUGUGUUCUGUAUAAACACAUCUCUUAUUUACACGUCUCACACACACAGAAUGUGACAGAUAAAUAAAGAGAAUCCCAGAAACACACACACACACACACACACACACACACACACACACACACACACACACACACACACACACACACACACACGGUGUAGCUCUCUGGGCCUCUCUUUCCCCCGGCUGAAGAAGACAGCAGCAGUAGUGAAGGGCUUCUCCUCAGUGUGCUCUCAGUGAGGAUCGAUGGCUCGACCUGAUAGCUCUGCUAAUAUGAGGAAACAGCCAGUAACGUUAUCCAGCCAGCGGAAACACGGACCGAGUGCCGACACCCGAGAGAGAGGGGGGUAGGCGGGAUGGGGGGAUGGGGGUGUCUGGAUGGGUAAGUGCAGUUCGCUGGGCGCGCUAGUAUUGCCGUCAGAUCACUGAGAGGGAGGUGAUAAAAUAUUAAGCGGUACACGAUCUCUCCAAUGACUUCUCUUAAAUAAUAUACACAAACAGAGCGACAGAGCAGCUGUACACCUCCGUCACUCUCACCUCAUCUUCUCUUUUAUUAUUCAUUUAUUAUAAACAAUACAUACAGUAUUUAUACAAAUCUGGGCAAAAUAAAAUGAAUAAAAUACAACUAAAAGAGCAAUUUAUAUUAGUUACCAAUGUUAGGUCAAGGGUUAUUAUUAUUAUUAUUGUUAUUAUUAUUAUUAUUAUUGUUAUUAUUAUUAUUGUUGUUGUUGUUGUUGUUGUUGUUACUGUUAUUAUUAUUGUUGUUCUUGUUUUUUUAAAGUAAUAUAUUGAAAAUACUCUGAUUAAAAAAAACAGUAUUUCAAGACAGGGUGUUUUUGUCCUUUGAGAUACACAAUAGCCUAAAAUCUCACAAUGUGUGUGUUUUUUCUGAUCUUUCUUUCUUUCUUUCUUUCUUUCUUUCUUUCUUUCUUUCUUUCUUUCUUUCUUUUCUUCUUCUCUAUAAAAAAUCUAAGAAAAUCACUUUAAAUCCCUUCAUUUUUGGUGUAAUAAAAAAGCUUCUUUCCUCUUC